rnacentral:ncRNA from 1 species
AGUGCCCAUUCGGGAUAAUAGGGAAGAUUGGUGAAAAGCCAACGCAGCCCCGCUACUGUAAGUGUGAUGAAAUAGCUACUGUGCAUUGUUGCAAUAUUGCAAUGAGAAGCCGCUAGAGUAAAAUGACCACGAGCCAGGAGACCUGCUUUUACAUC